ACACAGCUGUGUAUUAUUGUGCCAGAGAAUCACAGUGACAGACGCAAACAGCCUCCCUGUACAAAAACAUCAUCAUAUUCACAUUAGGUAUUUAUGUGCUUCUGAUUGGAUCUGGAGCGUCACAUCACCACUUUCAAGAUGAAGAGUUCACUCUGCUUACUGCUGCUCUCAUUCAGCGUACACCGUUUAAAAUGUCAAAGUAUGGAGUCCAUUGAAAGCACGGUUCAGAAAAAGCCUGGAGAAACUCUGACUCUGUCCUGUAGAGGAUCCGGGUUUAGCUUUGACUGCUGUAGCAUGCACUGGAUCAGACAACAAGCUGGAAAACCUCUCGUGUGGAUUGGACGUGUUAAUAGUGAUGGUAACAGCCAUGACUACGCCGAAGCCUUCAACAGACGAACUGAAAUCACCAGAGAUAAUUCAAAGAAUAUGGUAUAUCUGAAACUGUCGGGCCUGACAACAGAAGACUCAGCCACAUAUUACUGCGCAAAACAAACACAGUGACACAAAGUUCUUGCACGGCUGAACAAAAACCACUUGAGUGUUUCAUCUCUUGUCACUAGAGUUCAACAGGUGGCAGCAGAGAAUAAAAAAUCCACAAAAUACAGCCUAAUGACAAGAUAUACCAUCUGUCACAUCAUUAUUAAAGCCUAUUAUAUUACAGUUAAAUUUACAGUGAAGUUCACUAUAAAAGCUCUAACAUCACACAGCACAAAUGCAUAUCUGACUCCUUUAACACAACACAUAUUUUUGAUAUGUAGAUUUGUGGUAAUGGCUACACAUUUUACAGUGACAAACUAAAAAUAUGUUUCAAUUAACCAGAGACUCUUCCAGGAGUCUACAAGUGAAAGUGACUCUACAAGGGCAAAAUAUAAUAAUGAAUAUCAGCAUCUUACUGUGAAAACAGUAAUAAUCAACAAGCAGUUCUAAAACAUCUUGCAUAAUAAUACAAAUACUCUAAUAUAGGAAUAUAAAAAUGCAAGUGUUCAAUUGUUUCAAGUGAUUUUUAUUUUCUGAGUUCACAAGUUUUGCUUCAUUAUUACAGGCAAAAUCGAGGCCUUUAGUCUUUCAGAUGCAGGUCCAACAGAACCAGAUUACUGACCUACUACUUUUGUUGCUUUCCAAUAAGCCAAUAUUAGUUUUAUCAACCCCUGAAUUAAAAGAAUGAAACUA